CAAUCUGGCCGAAUACCACGACCCGGAGAGUGAGCCCGACUCCGAGCCUUACGACGACUCCUUCGAGAGCAUGGAGCUCGCUGUUGGCGAGUGGAAGAGUCUUAUCCACAUGGAGAUCGUGACCUUCGACCCCGACAAUCCCAGUAAAACAGCAAUGUAGGAUGCUGCGAUGUGCUGGCGACUCCCAGUGUUUGGUGUGAUACCUACACAUCGUGCCGUAAAGGUCAACCACAUCUCAGAGAGACAAAUACAUAAUUUUACCCUGUUCUCUUUAGUUCCUCUGACAUUUCUCGCAGCUAAAAUGCAUUUUACUAGGCGAAUGAAUUUCUAUCUGUUUCACAGCAAGCAUGUAAACUUGAAUAUUAAAAUCGUUUUUCACGAGG